GGUACUUCAAGGUUCCCCAGAAUUGAUUGAGCCUAAUUUUUUGACUUCAGAUUGUCAUUUGUUGCUUCACUCUUCAAGUGUCAGUACUUUAGUACUAGAUGACAAACCUGGUCUUCUUGGCACUUUUGACAUGGAUGAAGGAAUGACAUAUGAACAAAUGCAGACUGUAAUUGAAGAGGUUCUGGAGGAAUGUGGAUAUUACAAUUUUACCUCAAGCAGGUAUCAAUACUAUCCAUGGGGAGCAAGAAAUCAUCCAGCCAGAAGAUGAGCACCUGCAAUUUUGACUACAUUGGCGGAUUUUCUACUAAGGUCUAAAUAUCUUGACUUUAGCUGUUAUUUUCCAUUGCUAAAGGGAAACAGAAACACUACAUAAAACACAGGACAAAAGGAAACACCCAGGAAAUAGAAAUAAUUUAGAUCUUCUCUGUAGCUUACAAAGAAUCAUUAAGCAGUAGAACUCUAAUACAUAUCUCUGGCAGUAGGUAUAUGCAAUAUAGUUUUGGUGUCAAGAUAUGGUUUAUGCAAAAUGUAAACAUUCUUCCAAGUACUUUGACUAAGAUGACAAUGCACAGUUCCUCAGCCCAUUCUUGAUUUAUUGAAUGGCCUGUUGAAUACUCAGGUUUAUUAGAAAUCUUAAUUUUUACAAAUUUCUUAAUAUCAGAGAAUCUAUUUUUUUUAUAAUAGAAUAUAUUUUUGGACAGAGAGCAAUUCAGAAUGUCUAAGGAAGGGGGACAAAGUCUAACUAUAUUAAAAUCAAAAAUAGCUUGGGAAUCAGAAAUGAGCAUUCCAAAUACUGCUUUAAUUACUUGAAAUAGUUGGGAGUUAUGCUGCAAAUAUAAUAUAGACAGUAUUUACAACUUUCACAAUUUCUAACAUUUGUUAAAUCCAAAGAUUAGAGCAUGGAACAUGCUUAGAUUCUAUAAAUAGGUAAAUAUCAAUAUCUAAUAUAGAUAUAGAUAUAGAUGUAAAGCCACAGAUAAACCUGUAGAGUUAUAUUUAUAUUAAAUAAAUAAUUAAUUAUUAUUGCUAAUUAGAUAUGUGGCAAACAUUGCACUUUUGAAAAACUGAAAGUCUUUCUGAAAAAUGUUUGUAAAAUAGUAAUGCGCACAUUAUUGUUAUCUGGACAUUUCUUUACCUUUGGCAUAUUUUCAGCUUUACUAAAUCUUCAAUUUAGUUCAAUUUAGUAAAUGUAUGUUAUCUACAGUGAUGUUGUAAAUGUUAUAGAUCGGAUGUAAUAUUUCCAAAUUCCACUAACUUUUUAAAAUCAGAAUAUAUUUGAAAAUUUUAAUAUAGGCUUUAAUCUUUGGACAUGUAAGGUGAAGGGUAACAUCAAAUAUUGUGUUAGGGGAUUGAAAGAGAAAAGGAAAUCAAUUCUACCAACUAUAUCUGUUGGUAGUUACACUGUUGUUUACAUAAAAUGUAAUGUAUAUGUAUGUUAACAAUAUGUUUGAAGUUACACGCUUAUAGUAAUUUAAAUUACAAGGGGGCAUAUUACUUAAUAUAGUAUACCAUAUUUAGUUGAGGGAGACAUAGAUGGAGACCAAGGAAAAAAGUUUGUUCAGAUUUGCUAUUCUAACAUAUCUUAAUCUUCUAUAAAUGAUCAAAUGGAUUUGAGAUAAAUGAAAAAGAACAUCAAAAAUCAAAUCAAACCCAAAUAAGAAAACUGCAACAAAAUAUCACAAAGCAAAAAUACCAUCUAGCAUUGCCAUUUGUCACUUUCAAAAAGCAGUAAUAUUUCAGUAAUAUUUCACACAUAUUUCUUCUACAUUUAGGUGUUAAAGUUGGUAAUGACGAUGCACAAACUGAAAUUUUCAGUAGGAUUGCAUGACUCAGAGUUUGGCUAGGUUCCUAUAUGUAUGUACAGUAUGUUUUAGGGGCUAUUGAUCUUCUUUGCAUUUUGCUUGUUCACCACAAUAAAAUCAAUUGAACCAAGCAGUUGCAUGGUUCAUGGUGGCAAAUAUUUUUACAUAAUAAUUUUAUUCAAGAAAUUUCAUGUGAAAACUAUUAGUUCUGAUAGAUAUUGAUAUACAACAAAAUUUCAUAGAAAAAAUAGAAAAUAAUACAGUGACAAUUGCAAAGGGGGGUUUCAAGAUGUCAUCCACAGAAUCAUGAUGAAAACUCCACCCCUUUCUUCAUGUAUCAGAUAUUGGCAUACAUACAAAAGAGGCAGAUUUAAAUAACAAAGCCACAACCACUGUCUUGCUGCUGCCUACAAACACCACUGAAUUCAGCAGUCAAAAAUUAAAAACAGGCCAAAUUCUGCUCAGACUGCAUUGCCUCAAAAGUGAUUCUUAAUAAUUAAGGAAUUGAUAGCUCUGAGUCAUGUCAAAUACGUUUUGCUAAAAUUGAUAGAAACUGGUUACCCAAGAAUCUGUUUGAAUCCAAAGUGUCUAUCUCUCACAGUUUUUUAUACUUAGAUUCUGUCCUCUUCCAAAUUAAGCCAGUGCAGAUUUACAUGUGGUUCUUCAAACUAUAGACAACAGAAGGGGCAGCUUUUCAGGUAUAAAAGGCAUGCUAUAAAUUUCAAGGAAACUCUGUUUCCUAUCACUGCUGAUAUAGCAGUGUAGUUAACAAUCUUUGUAGUUGUAUAAAUUUCCUUCUAAUUUUUUAAUGCUCUUAGGAUAGACCAAAUGCUUGUAAAAUGAUACUGAAUCUGAGAGUACCAUUUGUAAUGACUUUGAAAUGGGAACCAUAUGAGAGUAUGAUUAUACAUUUUGAAAUUUCAAAUAAUAAAGCAUGUUGAUUACUUUUUAAAAAAUGUUUGUAAUUAUAGAGAUAACCUUCAAAACUCAGCAUUUACUAUCUUGGGAAUAAAAGUAAAAAUAUAGCAUUUUUUUAGUUUUAGAAUAUCAGGCUACCAAAAUCAAGGUCAAACAUUACAUUCACUUUUAAUUUGACUAUUAAUUUAAAAUAUCAUCUAAUGAAAACAGAACAAUCAUUCCAGACACUGAAAUUGAGAAACUUUCUAAUGAUUUUGAUCUAUAUUUUCUUAAAACAAUUAUGUUUUCAAGAGUCAGCAGGAAAA